CGUCUGAGGAGUGAAAUUAUGAAUGAAGGGGUGUGGUUAGCUAGGUAUAAAAGAUCAAUGGUAGGAACGAGAACGGCAGGUGUUUUUUUUUCUUCCUGGCCGGAAAUAGACUGAUACUUCGCCUGUUUGUUUGCUCGUGGUUCGCAGGUGGAUGUCUUUGGACGCAGGAGACGGGGCCUGUAGUUGCUGAGGGCAUUUCGGGAGUACAACAAAGCGGUGGGUUUUCUCCAGAUGUGACGUCAUGAUUAGCUGAAGUGUUACACCUGGGUUUGAGCUUCGACCGGCAGAUUUAAACAGCUCCCUUCAGUUGCGAGCGGCUCAUCCUACUUGUUUAUUUCGUUUUGUCUUGUCCUAUCCUAAUUUUUCCUUAUGUGUGUGUGUGCAUAUGUAUAUUUACGUAACUCGAUCAUCACCAAAUCUGGCAGUCUCACCAACCAUCGUUCGUCCCUCUGGAGGAACACCCAAC